GUCUCUGGAGAAAAAAUUACGAUAUACAAUCAGUUCUUGUAGUUUGAGUAUAAACAAACCAACACGCCAAUCUAUUGCUCGCUAAAUGUCCAGAAACUAUUACUGGGGAUGUGAACAUACAGAAGGGAUGACCAUCUUCACUACACGUUCGUUGCAAUGAAAAGAAAUUCAGAGUCGAUAAAACUAGUAAUAAUCUCAACAAAUGCCAUUGUAAACCGUCAUUACACAAAAUUCACAGCAAACUUUGCCUGCAGGCAUAAACCGUAUCAAGCUUACGACCACUGCGUACAAGCCACCUGCAAUUUUGUUUAUAAACUACGCUAUAUUCGAGCGAUUUACAUGCUAAAUAACAAGAACGGGUUGUGCGUUCAAUGUUCGGCGGGUCAAUGUGCCGUGCGCGACAACAAUGACGUGCUUUAGCCGUGGUAAAGUCUUUAUCUUGGCACCACUCUUGAUUGCAGGGUAAAUUUCGAUCUCAAGACAGAUACUAUUACCACAUAACGUGCCUUGACAUGAGGCAAAAUCAGGUUUCUUCGCAUUGCAAUAGAAUCCGUGUGAAAACAAAUAGUUUUAAUACGGCGUAUUAAAUGUUGCGUGAUCAUCGAGCGCCUUCAGUUUCAUUGCAUCGUCGCUUUGCGAAACGUACACAAACAAUGGGUCGAUGAAAAGACGCAAUAUCAACAUAAUGAGCGCAAAUAAAGCGUUCGAAAUGAGUUUGGAAAAAUUGGGAAGCAAUCAUGAGCUUAAACGGCAAUCGGAUAAUGUAAUUACGGUUAUUUUUAUGUCCGUUCGACAAUUGCUUCCUUUGCAAGACAAUUACGAAGAGAAUGGGUCGCUAAACGAAGCUGAAAGCACCGAUGAACACGUUCAUAUGAAUGUACAAUCUAAUACAGGUUAUUGUAGAGAUUAACUGCCAGGAUAUUGUGAGUAUUUUAUGUAUAUAAAUGUAUAAUAACGAA